rnacentral:rRNA from 1 species
CCUACGGGGGGCUGCAGUCGAGAAUCAUUCACAAUGGGGGAAACCCUGAUGGUGCGACGCCGCGUGGGGGAAUGAAGGUCUUCGGAUUGUAAACCCCUGUCAUGUGGGAGCAAAUUAAAAAGAUAGUACCACAAGAGGAAGAGACGGCUAACUCUGUGCCAGCAGCCGCGGUAAUACAGAGGUCUCAAGCGUUGUUCGGAAUCACUGGGCGUAAAGCGUGCGUAGGCUGUUUCGUAAGUCGUGUGUGAAAGGCGCGGGCUCAACCCGCGGAGGGCACAUGAUACUGCGAGACUAGAGUAAUGGAGGGGGAGCGGGAAUUCGGGGUGGAGCAGUGAAAUGCGGAGAGAUGGAGAGGAAGA